UACGUAGGGUCCGAGCGUUGUCCGGAAUUAUUGGGCGUAAAGCGCGUGUAGGCGGCUUGGUAAGUCUGCUCUGAAAGCCCGGGGCUCAACCCCGGGAGGCGGGUGGAUACUGUCAAGCUCGAGUCCGGAAGAGGAGUGUGGAAUUCCUGGUGUAGCGGUGAAAUGCGCAGAUAUCGAGGAGGAACACCGGUGGCGAAGGCGGGUCUCU
rnacentral:rRNA from 1 species